UCAUGUACAAUCAGAUUGGGGGGGGGGGGUGAGUACCGCAAUUUGAAUUCCUUCUUUGAGAAACUUGGGAUCUCGCAUCGUGUGUCUUGUCCUCAUACACAUCAGCAGAAUGGUUCAGCUGAACGUAAGCAUCGUCAUCUUGUUGAGACCGGCUUAACCUUAUUAGCUCAUGCCUCUGUUCCUUUUCGUUUUUGGAGUGAUGCUUUCACUACUGCCUGUUUUCUCAUCAACAGACUUCCGUCGCGACUUCUUGGCAUGAAAACUCCACUAGAACUCUUGCUUAAUGAGACUCCUGACUACACUUUUCUCAAAGUUUUCGGUUGUGCGUGUUGGCCGCAUCUCCGUCCUUACAAUAAUCGAAAGCUUGAGUUUCGCUCUAAAAAAUAUGUCUUUCUU
rnacentral:rRNA from 1 species